AGCGAACGCUGGCGGCAGGCUUAACACAUGCAAGUCGAGCGGGCACUUUCGGGUGUCAGCGGCGGACGGGUGAGUAACGCGUGGGAACGUGCCCUCUGGUUCGGAAUAACUCAGGGAAACUUGAGCUAAUACCGGAUACGCCCUUUUGGGGAAAGGCUUGCUGCCGGAGGAUCGGCCCGCGUCUGAUUAGCUAGUUGGUGAGGUAACGGCUCACCAAGGCGACGAUCAGUAGCUGGUCUGAGAGGACGAUCAGCCACACUGGGACUGAGACACGGCCCAGACUCCUACGGGAGGCAGCAGUGGGGAAUAUUGGACAAUGGGCGCAAGCCUGAUCCAGCCAUGCCGCGUGAGUGAUGAAGGCCUUAGGGUUGUAAAGCUCUUUUAUCCGGGACGAUAAUGACGGUACCGGAGGAAUAAGCCCCGGCUAACUUCGUG
rnacentral:rRNA from 1 species